rnacentral:rRNA from 1 species
GACGAACGCUGGCGGCGUGCUUAACACAUGCAAGUCGAACGGAAAGGCCCUGCUAUUGUGGCGUUCUCGAGUGGCGAACGGGCGAGUAACACGUGAGUACCUUGCCCUUGUCCUUGGGACUACUUCAUGAAACUGGGGCUAAUACCCUAUAGGAGCUCCUCCUGCAUGGUGGGCGUUUGAAAGAUUUGGCGGUUGGGGAUGGGCUCGCGGGUUAUGCGCUUGUUUGUCUGGUAGUCGAUUACCAAGGCUUCGACGGGUAGCCGGCCUGAGAGGGGGACCGGCCACAGGGCGACAGAGAUACGGGCCGGACUACUGCGGAAGGCUGCAGUGGGGAAUAGUGCAUGAUGGGCCGAAGUAUGAUGCAGGAAGGCCGCGUGAGGGGUGGUGGCCUUCGGGUAGAAGACCACUUUGUCAUGUGACGGAGACUGAGUGACGGUAAUGGAUAAAGAAGCACCGGCUAACUACGUG